rnacentral:rRNA from 1 species
GAUGAACGCUGGCGGCGUGCCUAAUACAUGCAAGUCGAGCGAACAGACGAGGAGCUUGCUCCUCUGACGUUAGCGGCGGACGGGUUAGUAACACGUUGAUAACCUACCUAUAAGACUUGGAUAACUUCGGGAAACCGGAGCUAAUACCGGAUAAUAUAUUGAACCGCAUGGUUCAAUAGUGAAAGACGGUUUUGCUGUCACUUAUAGAUGGAUCCGCGCCGCAUUAGCUAGUUGGUAAGGUAACGGCUUACCAAGGCGACGAUGCGUAGCCGACCUGAGAGGGUGAUCGGCCACACUGGAACUGAGACACGGUCCAGACUCCUACGGGAGGCAGCAGUAGGGAAUCUUCCGCAAUGGGCGAAAGCCUGACGGAGCAACGCCGCGUGAGUGAUGAAGGUCUUCGGAUCGUAAAACUCUGUUAUUAGGGAAGAACAAAUGUGUAAGUAACUAUGCACGUCUUGACGGUACCUAAUCAGAAAGCCACGGCUAACUACGUG